GAUGAAGAACGUAGCGAAAUGCGAUAAGUAAUGUGAAUUGCAGAAUUCAGUGAAUCAUCGAAUCUUUGAACGCACAUUGCGCCCGUCAGUAUUCUGGCGGGCAUGCCUGUUCGAGCGUCAUUACGCCCCUCAAGUCCCCUGUGGACUUGGUGUUGGGGAUCGGCGAGGCUGGUUUUCCAGCACAGCCGUCCCUUAAAUUAAUUGGCGGUCUCGCCGUGGCCCUCCUCUGCGCAGUAGUAAAACACUCGCAACAGGAGCCCGGCGCGGUCCACUGCCGUAAAACCCCCCAACUUUUUAUAGUUGACCUCGAAUCAGGUAGGACUACCCGCUGAACUUAAGCAUACCAAUAAGCGGAGGA
rnacentral:misc_RNA from 1 species